GUGCACUUUGGCAGCACAUAUACUAAAAUUGGAACGAUACAAAGAAGAUCAGCACGGCCCCUGCGUAAGGAUGACGUGCAAAUUUGUGAAGUGUUUCAUAUUUUU